rnacentral:rRNA from 1 species
AAAUUGAAGAGUUUGAUCAUGGCUCAGAUUGAACGCUGGCGGCAGGCCUAACACAUGCAAGUCGAACGGUAACAGGAAACAGCUUGCUGUUUCGCUGACGAGUGGCGGACGGGUGAGUAAUGUCUGGGAAACUGCCUGAUGGAGGGGGAUAACUACUGGAAACGGUAGCUAAUACCGCAUAACGUCGCAAGACCAAAGAGGGGGACCCUCGGGCCUCUUGCCAUCGGAUGUGCCCAGAUGGGAUUAGCUUGUUGGUGGGGUAACGGUUCACCAAGGCGACGAUCCCUAGCUGGUCUGAGAGGAUGACCAGCCACACUGGAACUGAGACACGGUCCAGACUCCUACGGGAGGCAGCAGUGGGGAAUAUUGCACAAUGGGCGCAAGCCUGAUGCAGCCAUGCCGCGUGUAUGAAGAAGGCCUUCGGGUUGUAAAGUACUUUCAGCGGGGAGGAAGGGAGUAAAGUUAAUACCUUUGCUCAUUGACGUUACCCGCAGAAGAAGCACCGGCUAACUCCGUGCCAGCAGCCGCGGUAAUACGG